rnacentral:rRNA from 1 species
CCUACGGGUGGCAGCAGUGGGGGAUAUUGGACAAUGGGGGGAACCCUGAUCCAGCGACGCCGCGUGAGUGAAGAAGUAUUUCGGUAUGUAAAGCUCUGUCAGCAGGGAAGAAAGAAAUGACGGUACCUGACCAAGAAGCCCCGGCUAACUACGUGCCAGCAGCCGCGGUAAUACGUAGGUGGCAAGCGUUGUCCGGAUUUACUGGGUGUAAAGGGCGUGCAGCCGGAGAGACAAGUCAGAUGUGAAAUCCACGGGCUCAACCCGUGAACUGCAUUUGAAACUGUUUCCCUUGAGUGUCGGAGAGGUAAUCGGAAUUCCUAGUGUAGCGGUGAAAUGCGUAGAUAUUAGGAAGAACACCAGUGGCGAAGGCGGAUUACUGGACUAUAACUGACGGUGAGGCGCGAAAGCGUGGGGAGCAAACAGGAUUAGAUACCCUUGUAGUC